AGCGAACGCUGGCGGCAGGCCUAACACAUGCAAGUCGAACGAACCUUUCGGGGUUAGUGGCGGAAGGGUGCGUAACACGUGGGAACGUGCCUUUAGGUUCGGAAUAACUCAGGGAAACUUGUGCUAAUACCGACUGUGCCCUUCGGGGGAAAGAUUUAUCGCCUGUAGAGCGGCCCGCGUCUGAUUAGCUAGUUGGUUGAGGUAAUGGCUCACCAAGGCGACGAUCAGUAGCUGGUCUGAGAGGAUGAUCAGACACAUUGGGACUGAGACACGGCCCAAACUCCUACGGGAGGCAGCAGUGAGGAAUCUUGCGCAAUGGGCGAAAGAAUGACGCAGCCAUGCCGCGUGAAUGAUGAAGGUCUUAGGAUUGUAAAAUUCUUUCAACGGGGACGAUAAUGACGGUACCCGGAGAAGAAGCCCCGGCUAACUUCGUG
rnacentral:rRNA from 1 species